AUAACUAAGCGGAGGAAAAGAAACCAAAAGGGAUUCCCUUAGUAACGGCGAGCGAACAGGGAACAGUCCAGCGCCAAGUCUUGACGCCUCGAUGUGUUCAAGAGAUGCGGCGUUAAUGUGUUGGCGCAUCAUACAUUGUUCCACGUUUCAAGUUCCUUUGACAGGGACAUCCAGAGCGGGUGCUAGGCCCAUAGAGACGAGGAGCUGAUGUAUGCCAGCCAAUACAUUCUAGAGUCAGGUUGUUUGAGAGUACAGCCUAAAGUCGGUGGUAGACUCCAUCCAAGACUAAAUAUCACAGCGAGACCGAUAGCAAACAAGUACCGUGAGGGAAAGUUGAAAAGCACUUUGAAGAGAGAGUUAAACAGUACGUGAAACCACUGGGAGGCAAACAGAUGGAACCACGAAGUUUGCGUCUCGGACGAUUCAAUCAUCACUGCCGGUUUGCGGCAUGCGUCAUGGAUCUCUUUGGAGAUUGGACGCCGGCCGUAGCGRACCGGCGGUGGUGGUGCAUUUCGUUCCGGGAAUGCCAAGCCACGUUCGACUAGACAGUUGGGACGGCCGUCGGGCAGGGUCCAAGAAAGGUGACCGCCAAGUGCUUGCGCUUGGCGGUGUUAUAGUCUUGGAUCGGAACCGUCGCCUAACAWGCUGGUCGAUGGAAUUACUCCCUCCGGGAGUGUUUAGUUGCGUCUGCCUCCGCACGUUAUCCGUGGGCGUUGGUGUGUUCUUUUGGUGUUUUGCGAUGCCAAAAGGCACGUCAACGUCACCGGUUAGCGGGUGGUUGCGUGACGCAACCAAACUGUGGCGCGAGUAGGUCGGUGUCCCUCUGACCCGUCUUGAAACACGGACCAAGGAGCCUAACAUGUACGCGAGUCGCUCGGUCUUGAAUAGGCCCGGGAGGCGAAAUGAAAGUAAAACUACGAGACCGUAAAACAGUCGCAGUAGUGGCACGCCUACUUCGUUUAUUGGCGAUAUGGCGUAGCUGGAGCGUAUACGUUGGUACCCGAAAGAUGGUGAACUAUGCCUGGGCAAGACGAAGCCAGAGGAAACUCUGGUGGAGGUCUGUAGCGAUUCUGACGUGCAAAUCGAUCGUCAGACCUGGGUAUAGGGGCGAAAGACUAAUCGAACCAUCUAGUAGCUGGUUCCCUCCGAAGUUUCCCUCAGGAUAGCAGGCGCUCGUGGAACUCAGUCUCAUCCGGUAAAGCUAAUGAUUAGAGGUCUUGGGGUUGAAACGACCUCAACCUAUUCUCAAACUUUAAAUGGGUGAGAUGGUUGACUUUCUUGAUUGAAGCCAACCAGUAGGAUGUGAGUGCCUAGUGGGCCAUUUUUGGUAAGCAGAACUGGCGCUGUGGGAUGCUCCAAACGCCGAGAUAAGGUAUCAAAUGCGCACGCUCAUCAGACCCCAUGAAAGGUGUUGGUUGCUAUAGACAGCAGGACGGUGGCCAUGGAAGUCGGAAUCCGCUAAGGAGUGUGUAACAACUCACCUGCCGAAGCAACUAGCCCUGAAAAUGGACGAUGCUGUAGCGUGGGACCGAUACUCGGCCGUAACCGGCGAUACCAAAGAGGAUGCGAUGCCGUUACGAGUAGGAGGGCCGUGAUGAUGGCGUUGAAGGUGUCGGACGUGAGUCCGCCUGGAGCCGUCAUUAGUGCAGAUCUUGGUGGUAGUAGCAAUUACUCAAGUGAGAAUCUUGAGGACUAACGUGGAGAAGGGUUCCAUGUGAACAGCAGUUGGACAUGGUUCAGUCGGUCCUAAGGAGGCGGAGAAAUCCGUUGAAACGGCCCAAUUAUUACAUGAAAGUUYAAUGACAAGUGGCCGAGUCUCCGAAAGGGAAUCGGGUCAAUAUUCCCGAACUGAGACAGGGAGGUCGUGCUCUCGGGCACAAAUGCGGUAACGCUAUCAAAUUUGGAAACAUCGGCGGCAGUCCCGGGAAGAGUUGUCUUUUCUCUAUAAGGUAUCGAAUCCAUGAAAACAGCUUGUCUGGAGAUAUGGAUGUUGAUAGCGAAGAGCUCAGCGGUUCUUGCUGAGUCCGGUGCACUGGUGUCGGUCCUUGAAAAUCCAAAGGCGAGAUUUACCUCCGUGCUCAGCCGUACCAAUAUCCGCAGCAGGUCUCCAAGGUUAACAGCCUCUAGUUUCUAGAAUAAUGUAGGUAAGGGAAGUCGGCAAAACUGAUCCGUAACUUCGGGACAAGGAUUGGCUCUGAAGGAUGGGUCGGUCGGGCUGUGGUCAGAAACGGGUGAUGCGCCUGACUGGGACUGGAGGGCGACCUCUCGCGGGGUUGCUAUUCGGACCCGUGUUGGCGUCUGCCCGCGGACGGCCAUGGCUACGCCCCGAUGCCCUGUGUGUCGGGUGUCGUUUCGGCCGGCAUUAAACAUCCGACUCAGAACUGGCACGGACCCGGGGAAUCCGACUGUCUAAUUAAAACAAAGCAUUGCGAUGGCCGGAGAUCGGUGUUGACGCAAUGUGAUUUCUGCCCAGUGGUAUGAAUGUCAAUGGGAAGAAAUU
rnacentral:rRNA from 1 species